rnacentral:rRNA from 1 species
UUAAGUACUGGCUUCCGUGGAUUACUUUGUUUGGCGGCUGACGAAGAGCGUAACCAGUCGCGAAAGAGGUGGUGACGUGUAGGCCACGAUCCACUCGUGCUCCAACGGGCAAACUGUUUAAAAUCCCUCUGGGAAUUUAAACAUCUUCGCAUGAGGUUGA